rnacentral:tRNA from 1 species
GCUUCUAUCGUUUAGUGGUUUAAGACAAUACCUUUUCGCGGUAUAAACAUAGGUUCAAAUCCUAUUGGAAGUA